GGAGAGGUGGCCGAGUGGCUGAAGGCGCGCCCCUGCUAAGGGCGUAUGGGUUAACACUCAUCGAGGGUUCGAAUCCCUCCCUCUCCGCCA
rnacentral:tRNA from 3 species